GAUCCUGGCUCAGGAUGAACGCUAGCUACAGGCUUAACACAUGCAAGUCGAGGGGCAUCAGGGUGUAGCAAUACACCGCUGGCGACCGGCGCACGGGUGAGUAACACGUAUCCAACCUGCCCUUUACUCGGGGAUAGCCUUUCGAAAGAAAGAUUAAUACCCGAUGGUAUAACAUGACCUCCUGGUUUUGUUAUUAAAGAAUUUCGGUAGAGGAUGGGGAUGCGUUCCAUUAGGCAGGUUGGCGGGUAACGCCAC
rnacentral:rRNA from 1 species